UACGAAGGGGGCUAGCGUUGUUCGGAUUUACUGGGCGUAAAGCGCACGUAGGCGGAUAUUUAAGUCAGGGGUGAAAUCCCGGGGCUCAACCCCGGAACUGCCUCUGAUACUGGGUAUCUGGAGUCCGGAAGAGGUGAAUGGAAUUCCUGGUGUAGCGGUGGAAUGCGCAGAUAUCAGGAGGAACACCAAUAGCGAAGGCAGCUCGCUGGGACGGUACUGACGCUGAGGCGCGAAAGCGUGGGGAGCAAACAGG
rnacentral:rRNA from 1 species